UCCAACAUCGUUUUAGAGAAUUUGGCAGUGUGUCCAACCGGCCUCACAACCGCAGACCCAGUGCUCUACAGUGCAGUAUUUCACUUGCAUUUGCCCCUAAAAAUAGAUAUGUGCGAACCUAAAAAUCAUUUUUUACGAGCACAGUGUGCGAUUAAAGAUUACAACCCAUGGUAAUCUAUGUUUCCCCCGCUGCUAAUUGUUUAAAAACUUCAGGUCCCACAUUCUACAAGCGGCAUGCACCAACCACAGUAGUUUUCUGUGAUGACGCAGUCCAGUCAGAGAGAGAGAAAGGUGAACAACACUGGAAAAUAGUGUCGGUAUAGGCUAUAAAUUAACGUGCAGACAUCGCUAAAAAUGAAGCCCAUUCAAUUUUAAUUUAAGCGAAAAAGAGACUAGGAGAAAGAGGAAUCCGGCAAUGGGGAUUCGCAAGGUUCAACUAAUGAAGCCUCUUCACAAGGUUGACCUGAGGCGGCUAACGUUAGGGAUGCUGAAAACAACAUUAGCGACGCUACCGUGACCCCCGCUGUCACUUCAACGUCCACUGUAGCCGGUGGAGGGAGAACAUAUAGAUUCAAUGCGAAUUGGCUCAAAAUGUUCCCAUGGCUAGAGUUCGAAAACAACGUCAUGUUCUGCAAAUAAUGUAGAGGGCAGAAACAGGCGGGAUCGUCUUUCGUGUCAGGAAACCCGCAUCUGAAAAGAGAUAGCGUAGCAAAACAUUAUAUCUCGCGGCGGCAUAUCCAGUGCAGAGAUCUGUACCUGUUGAGAGAAACCUUCAGGCACGGUGUCAGCAGCCUUGAGGAGGCAAGUGCUGCUGUCUGAGGAGGAGAAGAGGAGGCAGCUGAAAAUAAAGAUAAACAUCGCAUACUUCAUUGCGAAAGAAGAACAUUUCGUCAAAUUUGAGCCGCUUAUCAGACUCCACCACAAAAACGGAGUUGACAAUCCCACAUACGACAAUGAUGUAAAAUGUGCGGAGAUGAUCGGUCAAAUUGCUGACAUAAUGAAAGAGCCCCUGUCAGCGAAUCUGAAAGCCGCGAAGCAUCUUGCCUUUCUAAUAGACGGAGACACUGAUAUAUAUCCAACACCGAAUGUGAGAUUGUCUACGUACGCUUGUUGGAGGAUGGGAAUGAAGCCAGUCAAUCUCCUGGUCAGCCAACAGACACUUGAGCACUCUCAUGCCAUUGGUGUUCUGGAUGCCACCAAGGCCACUUUUCGUGCUGUUUGCCCAGAGGAGGAUGGAGGGUCAUGGAUGAAGAAUUGCAUCUCCUUUGGGGCAAAUGGUGCCUCCAUGAACAUGGGCCACCGUGGGGGAGUGAUUGCCCACCUGCAGAGAGAGGCAGGGGGGCAUAUAAUCCCAAUCCACUACCAGAGCUGGCAAUACUGACCAUUCAGAAGAAAGAGCCAAAGGUGUAUGUCGUGUACGAUCUUCUGAAUCUGAUAUGGAAGAUGUAUCACUUCAGCUGAAAAUCCAAACGAGAACUCUAUGUUCUUGGGCAAGAGCUCGUCGGUGUGGAUAUUUGCACACAGUCUAGCGUCAAGGGAACUCGCUGGAUCUCCCAUGUCCACAGAGCCCUUAGUGUUCCUACAGCAUGGACAAGACAAGGACCUUGCCACUGACUAAGGCCAGUACUCCGUUGUUCUGCAGCACAUGGAGCACCUGGCCGUAGCAUCAACAACAGAAGUUCAAGGGCGGGCAAAGAUAAAGUGGGAAAUGGAGAAUGCACUCUUUUGUGUAUUCUGCCAUUUUCUUUCAGACAUGUUUGAGGAGCUAGCCUCACCCUGCAAAGAAAUGACCUGAUCCUCCCCCAAGCCAUGUCAGAGUUGAGGAAGACAGUGACCAGACUGGAAGCACUAAAGCUUAUGGCAAAGGCAGGAGGCAUGCUGGACAAGAUCCAGACCCUGCUUGCUCAUGAUGAGAGGAUAUUCCAGGGAAUAACACUGAAGAGGAAUCUGAAAGGCUUCACGGACCUCACCCCAAUCCCCAGCUGAAGCAGCACAUGGAGGCGGCCAUCAACAUCGGCGUGGAUGACCUCAAAGCCAGGUUUGGUAGUUUGCUGAAGGAUGAGGGUGUCCAGACCCCAGUGGAGUCUUUGAGUGCUAAACCCUGACACCUGGCCAGAAGACCAGGCCAGCCUUCUCACCUUUGGCGAUGAUGGUGUGGCAGACCUGAUGAGGCAUUUCAAGAAGCCUCUAGAGAGCGCGCAUCCAACCCGGAUGCAACAUGGCUGCAAUCCAGGAUGAGUGGCAGGAGCUGAAAAUCCUGGUCAGCCACAAUUUUAAGGACAAGUCCUACAGUGGCCUGUUGACAAAGGACCCCUACAGGCACAAUUACAAGAACAUACUGGAGUUGGUGCAGCUUAUGCUGGUGCUGCCCAUUUCACCCGCCCAGUGUGAGUGAGGCUUCUCUGCGCAGAACCGGAUUAAGAAUUCGACAAGAAGCUGCCUUGGGUUCUCCACGGCCGAAGACCUGAUGAGGAUCAGCCUGGAGGGGUCUCCUGUCGAGGAGUUCCAUCCCACUCCUGCCGUGGACCGCUGGCUGACCUCCAAGCGUGCCAGACGGCUGACCUCUAAGCGUGCCAGACGGCCAACAUACAAAAGCAGCUGGACAACUGAUAUCCUUUGCGUCUAGUAGGCAUGGGUCAAUGUGUGAUUUUGGUGGUAUGUGCUGUUCCACAGAUGUGUGUCCCUUAGUACACGCUCACACACGCAGUAUAAAUAUAUAUGUGAUAAAUUGUUUGUUAAUAAACUCUGUUACAUUUUUCACUGUGCUCCUAAAUUUCUUUGUGUGCUCCUACACUUUCAUUUAGGAGCGCAUGUACUCCUUGGGAAAAAAAGAUAGCGCAGAGCCCUGGGCAGACCACGUGUAUGGUGUCGUGUGGGCGAGUGGUUUUCUGAUGUCAACGUUGUGAACAGAGUGCCCCAUGGUGGU